rnacentral:rRNA from 1 species
CACGUAGGGGACGAGCGUUGUCCGGAUUCAUUGGGCGUAAAGCGCGCGUAGGCGGCUCGGAAAGUCGGUCGUGAAAUGCCGGGGCUCAACCCCGGGACUGCGUCCGAUACUUCCGGGCUGGAGGUAGGUAGGGGAGAUCGGAAUUCCUGGUGUAGCGGUGAAAUGCGCAGAUAUCGGGAAGAACACCCGUGGCGAAGGCGGUUCUCUGGGACGGUACUGACGCUGAGACGCGAAAGCGUGGGGAGCGAACAGG